rnacentral:rRNA from 1 species
UACGUAGGGCGCGAGCGUUGUCCGGAUUUAUUGGGCGUAAAGAGCUCGUAGGCGGCUUGUUGCGUCGACCGUGAAAACCCGCGGCUUAACUGUGGGCUUGCGGUCGAUACGGGCGGGCUGGAGUUCGGUAGGGGAGACUGGAAUUCCUGGUGUAGCGGUGAAAUGCGCAGAUAUCAGGAGGAACACCGGUGGCGAAGGCGGGUCUCUGGGCCGAUACUGACGCUGAGGAGCGAAAGCGUGGGGAGCGAACAGG